rnacentral:rRNA from 1 species
UACGAAGGGUGCUAGCGUUGUUCGGAAUUACUGGGCGUAAAGCGCGCAUAGGCUGUUUGACAAGUCAGAGGUGAAAGCCCUGGGCUCAACCCAGGAAUUGCCUUUGAAACUGUCAGACUAGAGUGUCGGAGGGGAUAGCGGAAUUGCUAAUGUAGAGGUGAAAUUCGUAGAUAUUAGCAGGAACACCGGUGGCGAAGGCGGCUAUCUGGACGACAACUGACGCUGAGGCGCGAAAGCACGGGGAUCAAACAGG